CCCCCUCUGUUCCGUUCACUCGUCGAUCCAACAGCGUCGGCGCCGGCCUCCGUCGUCCCACCCGCCGCCCGCCACGACCAUCGCCCAGUCCGCUGUCCACCAGGCGCCCGGGCCAACUGCCUCUGUUCCGCCCGCGGCCGGCCUCCCAACAGCAGCCAAAACUCCCUCUGUUCCGCCCGCUGCCCGUCGAUCCAGCCUCGCCGCCUCCGUCGUCCUAGCAGUUGCGCCGCCUCCGAGCAAUAGCAGACGCGCCGCCAGCCCGUCCCAGACUCCCCACUUGUACCUGUUCUUCUUCUUCUAAUCUUCUUCUUCCUCCCAACAGCAACCAUGAAAAUACUAUUUUCAAAAUAGGGGUUAGGUUUUGCGAAUUUUGACCCUGAAACCUGCAAUUUUGAC
rnacentral:lncRNA from 1 species